CCUCGUUCCUAUUGGCCGCCGUGGCUGUCAAUCACCUCCUGCCCGGGCUGGGCGUGGCCGCGGCGCUGGCGCUGGGGGAGGGGCUUGUGGGGGGCGGGGCCUACGGGAACGCCUUCAGCAACCUGGGCGAGCAGGUGCCCCUCCCCCAGCAGCCGCUGGCCAUCGCUGUGGUCACUCUGGGGGCCGAAGUCGCCAUCGCUGCGGCCGGAGCGGCCGGACUGGGGGCGCACGCGGCGUUCUGCGGCCGGGAGUGACCCUGAGUGACCACUGAGUGACCACUGACCAGUGAGUGACCAGUGACCACUGAGUGACCACUGAGUGACCACUGAGUGACCGCUGAGUGACCAAUGAGUGACCACUGACCAGUGAGUGACCACUGAGUGACCUCUGAGUGACCACUGAGUGACCACUGAGUGACCUCUGGAAUGGCGUGGAAGUGA
rnacentral:lncRNA from 1 species